rnacentral:rRNA from 1 species
UACGGGGGGGGCGAGCGUUGUUCGGAAUCACUGGGCGUAAAGGGCGCGUAGGCGGCCCGCACAAGUCUGCGGUGAAAACCCCCGGCUUAACCGGGGGCCGGCCGUGGAAACUGUCGGGCUAGAGGCCGGGAGAGGGCAGCGGAAUUCCCGGUGUAGCGGUGAAAUGCGUAGAGAUCGGGGAGGAACACCGGCGGCGAAGGGCGGCUGCCUGGACCGGCCCUGACGCUGAGGCGCGAAAGCUAGGGGAGCAAACAGG